rnacentral:rRNA from 1 species
UACGGAGGGGGGCGAGCGUUAUUCGGAAUUAUUGGGCGUAAAGGGCGCGUAGGCGGCGCGAUAAGUCAAAGGUGAAAUCCCUCGGCUCAACUGAGGAACUGCCUUUGAGACUGUCGAGCUUGAGGCCGGGAGGGGGUAGCGGAAUUCCCAGUGUAGCGGUGAAAUGCGUAGAUAUUGGGAGGAACACCAGUGGCGAAGGCGGCUACCUGGACCGGUUCUGACGCUGAGGCGCGAAAGCUAGGGGAGCAAACAGGU